rnacentral:lncRNA from 1 species
CUGCGGGAGCGGAGCACCGGGGGUAGGGGGGCGGUCGGUGGUGCCGCCGCCGUGAGGCGCUUGAGCCCGGCGCGGAGCUUCCCCCGCGGUUCCAGCCGGCGGCCGCGGCGCAGACUUGUAAAACUCCAUUUGCAAAAAUCUGCUACUGGGGGAGGAGAGGAGCAGAGGCACGAGGAGCUCCUCACGUCGGGCGUCGUCUGGCGCUAGUGGGACGUCGGGGGCAGGGGAGGGGGGAACGGGUCGGGCAGAUCCCGGCUCAUCCCGGAGGAUCCAGGGCUGUUCCAGCAUCGACCCGCCGGCACGUUCUGCUGGUUCCAACACCGCCUCCAAGAUGCUGUUCCCCUCUUCCCAUCUCGGCUUGAUCCAAGAGAGCCGUUCCAGCGCCGGGCUGCAGGGCCUGACCGGCUCCGCGACGGCUCCAGCCUCUCCCUCCGAGCCACGGGGGUUGGCAUCUCCCACCGGGAAUGCUGUCCCGGCGCGGCAUCAGCUCCUGUACCGUCAGCGCUCGCUCCCGCUUCCGUCUUUUUGGAUUUUCUAGGAUUUUUUUUUUUUUUGCUAUUUUUAUGGGUUUUUUUUCUUUUUUGGAAGCUUUUCGUUGGGCUCCCAAGAGGAGCCGGCGAAGGGGUCACCCGGAGCCACCGCCGCUCCCCCGGCACCCGGGGCCCAUUCCGUGCCCCUCGCCCCCACAGCGGCCGGGCACGAGAAUUCCCAUGUUCAUCCCUUUGCGGGGGGAGGGGAGGUGGGAAUAUGGACGUGAAGCGUUUCCAGCAUUCCCGGCGCUCCGCACAUGGCGGGUAUUUACAUGGCGUUUGGGCGCUAUACAAGAUUUACAGGUGAGUUCUGUACAGCCACAGCGCGCCCUCGACCCGGCCCUUCCGCAGCAACUCCCACCUGGAAGUUCCAAGGAUUUGGGAUCAUUUCCCCCCCCCCCCAUUAAAAACCAAGCCCAAAAUCCAAAA